rnacentral:rRNA from 1 species
UACGUAGGGCGCAAGCGUUGUCCGGAAUUAUUGGGCGUAAAGAGCUCGUAGGUGGUGUGUCGCGUCUGCCGUGAAAGCCCGGGGCUUAACUCCGGGUCUGCGGUGGAUACGGGCAGACUAGAGGCAGGUAGGGGAGAACGGAAUUCCCGGUGUAGCGGUGAAAUGCGCAGAUAUCGGGAGGAACACCGGUGGCGAAGGCAGGCCUCUGGGCCGAUACUGACGCUGAGGAGCGAAAGCGUGGGGAGCGAACAGG